rnacentral:miRNA from 1 species
UGUCCAGUAGCACCUUAGAGACCAACUAAGCUUGUUCUUGGUAUAAGGUUUCGUGUGCAACCUUAGUUGGUCUCUAAGGUGCUACUGGACA